UUUACUUCUGAGUUUGUGCCUUAACUUGAGAUGGUAGUGCUAUCGGCCUUGGCUAUCUUGCCUGGAUAUGCAAAUCAGGAAGAGACCAGACACCUGGGCAUGGCACAGUAUUGAAAGAAUAGAUCCAGACCAAGAAUACAUUUUAGCUUUGUGCUAGAUCCUUUGUAUUCUUACAGACCCCUUUUUCACAUGCUUA